CCCUUAGAGUUUGAUCCUGGCUCAGGAUGAACGCUGGCGGCGUGCUUAACACAUGCAAGUCGAGCGAAGCACUUAAGUUCGAUUCUUCGGGAUGAAGACUUUUGUGACUGAGCGGCGGACGGGUGAGUAACGCGUGGGUAACCUGCCUCAUACAGGGGGAUAACAGUUAGAAAUGGCUGCUAAUACCGCAUAAGACCACGGUACUGCAUGGUACAGUGGUAAAAACUCCGGUGGUAUGAGAUGGACCCGCGUCUGAUUAGGUAGUUGGUGAGGUAACGGCCCACCAAGCCGACGAUCAGUAGCCGACCUGAGAGGGUGACCGGCCACAUUGGGACUGAGACACGGCCCAGACUCCUACGGGAGGCAGCAGUGGGGAAUAUUGCACAAUGGGCGAAAGCCUGAUGCAGCGACGCCGCGUGAAGGAUGAAGUAUUUCGGUAUGUAAACUUCUAUCAGCAGGGAAGAAAAUGACGGUACCUGACUAAGAAGCCCCGGCUAACUACGUGCCAGCAGCCGCGGUAAUACGUAGGGGGCAAGCGUUAUCCGGAUUUACUGGGUGUAAAGGGAGCGUAGACGGCUGUGCAAGUCUGAAGUGAAAGGCAUGGGCUCAACCUGUGGACUGCUUUGGAAACUGUGCAGCUAGAGUGUCGGAGAGGUAAGUGGAAUUCCUAGUGUAGCGGUGAAAUGCGUAGAUAUUAGGAGGAACACCAGUGGCGAAGGCGGCUUACUGGACGAUGACUGACGUUGAGGCUCGAAAGCGUGGGGAGCAAACAGGAUUAGAUACCUUGGUAGUCCACGCCGUAAACGAUGACUGCUAGGUGUCGGGUAGCAAAGCUAUUCGGUGCCGCAGCUAACGCAAUAAGCAGU
rnacentral:rRNA from 1 species